rnacentral:rRNA from 1 species
CGGUGAGCAUGUCGGUUUAAUUCGAAGCAACGCGAAGAACCUUACCAGGUCUUGACAUCCCCUGACAACCCGAGAGAUCGGGCGUUCCCCUUCGGGGGACAGGGUGACAGGUGGUGCAUGGUUGUCGUCAGCUCGUGUCGUGAGAUGUUGGGUUAAGCCCCGCAACGAGCGCAACCCUCGACCUUAGUUGCCAGCAUUCAGUUGGGCACUCUAAGGUGACUGCCGGCUAAAAGUCGGAGGAAGUGGGGAUGACGUCAAAUCAUCAUGCCCCUUAUGACCUGGGCUACACACGUGCUACAAUGGGCGGUACAAAGGGUCGCGAACCCGCGAGGUGGAGCUAAUCCCAAAAAGCCGGUCUCAGUUCGGAUUGGAGUCUGCAACUCGACUCCAUGAAGUCGGAAUCGCUAGUAAUCGCGUAUCAGCGCGACGCGGUGAAUACGUUCCCGGGCCUU